rnacentral:rRNA from 1 species
UACGUAGGAGACGAGCGUUGUCCGGAGUUACUGGGCGUAAAGGGUGCGCAGGCGGCCCUGCGCGUCGCGAGUGAAAUCUCCCGGCUCAACUGGGAGGGUGGUCGCGAGACGGCAGGCUUGAGGCUCGGUGAGGGGCGUGGAAUUCCGGGUGGAGCGGUGAAAUGCGUAGAGAUCCGGAGGAACACCAACGGCGUAGGCAGCGCCCUAGACGAGACCUGACGCUCAGGCACGAAAGCGCGGGGAGCGAACAGG